rnacentral:ncRNA from 2 species
AGCUCAUCGAGAGGGACUGAGGGAACGGCCCAGUGAAGUCCCGGCAACCGCCACGAGCCCCCUGCUCCGCCCACCAGAAACCCGGGCGGGACCAGUCGUGGAAACGGUGCUAAUUCCGGCCCACGGCGAGAUACGACGCGGGGAAGAUGAGAA